rnacentral:rRNA from 1 species
ACGGGUGAGCAACGCGUGAGAAUCUGCCCUUCAGUGAAGAAUACCGCCGAGAAAUCGGUGCUAAUGCUGCAUAAGUCCCUAUGGGGAGAAAAGUGGCCUCUUUGCUACUGCUGAAGGAUGAGCUUGCGUACUAUUAGCUAGUUGGUGGGGUAAAGGCCUACCAAGGCGAUGAUGGUUAACCGGCCUGAGAGGGUGUUCGGUCACACUGGAACUGAGAUACGGUCCAGACUCCUACGGGAGGCAGCAGUGAGGAAUAUUGCGCAAUGGGCGAAAGCCUGACGCAGCGACGCCGCGUGGAGGAUGAAGGUCUUCGGAUUGUAAACUUCUGUUAAGUGGGAAGAAAAAGUUGAUUUUAAUAGAAUCAGCAAUGACGGUACCAUUAGAGAAAGCACCGGCUAAACUCGUGCCAGCAGCCGCGGUAAUACGAGUGGUGCAAGCGUUAUUCGGAAUCAUUGGGCGUACAGGGUGCGUAGGCGGUAUGUUAAGUCUGUUGUUAAAGACUCCGGCCUAACCGGAGAUAGGCAGCGGAAACUGGCGUACUAGAGGAUGGAAGAGAGAAGUGGAAUUCUCGGU